rnacentral:rRNA from 1 species
UUUGAUGUUCUAACGUAGGCCCCUUAUCGGGGUUGCGGACAGUGUCUGGUGGGUAGUUUGACUGGGGCGGUCUCCUCCUAAAGAGUAACGGAGGAGCACGAAGGUUGGCUAAUCCUGGUCGGACAUCAGGAGGUUAGUGCAAUGGCAUAAGCCAGCUUGACUGCGAGCGUGACGGCGCGAGCAGGUGCGAAAGCAGGUCAUAGUGAUCCGGUGGUUCUGAAUGGAAGGGCCAUCGCUCAACGGAUAAAAGGUACUCCGGGGAUAACAGGCUGAUACCGCCCAAGAGUUCAUAUCGACGGCGGUGUUUGGCACCUCGAUGUCGGCUCAUCACAUCCUGGGGCUGAAGUAGGUCCCAAGGGUAUGGCUGUUCGCCAUUUAAAGUGGUACGCGAGCUGGGUUUAGAACGUCGUGAGACAGUUCGGUCCCUA